rnacentral:rRNA from 1 species
UACGGAGGGUGCAAGCGUUGUCCGGAAUCACUGGGCGUAAAGGGCGCGUAGGCGGCUCAUGAAGGCUGUGGUGAAAGUCCGGGGCUCAACCUCGGAUCGGCCGUGGCGACUCGUGGGCUGGAGCACUGUAGAGGCGGGUGGAAUUCCGGGUGUAGCGGUGGAAUGCGUAGAUAUGCGGAGGAACAUCGAUGGCGAAGGCAAUCCCCCUGGGCCUGCACUGACGCUCAUGCACGAAAGCGUGGGGAGCAAACAGG